rnacentral:rRNA from 1 species
UGGGGAAUCUUGCGCAAUGGGCGAAAGCCUGACGCAGCCACGCCGCGUGAGGGAUGAAGGCUCUAGGGUCGUAAACCUCUUUCAGCAGGGACGAAAAUGACGGUACCUGCAGAAGAAGCUCCGGCCAACUACGUGCCAGCAGCCGCGGUAACACGUAGGGGGCGAGCGUUGUCCGGAUUUAUUGGGCGUAAAGAGCUCGUAGGCUGUUCAGUAAGUCAGGUGUGAAAACUCGAGGCUCAACCUCGAGACGCCACCUGAUACUGCUGUGACUAGAGUCCGGUAGGGGAGUGUGGAAUUCCUGGUGUAGCGGUGAAAUGCGCAGAUAUCAGGAGGAACACCAGCAGCGAAGGCGGCACUCUGGGCCGGUACUGACGCUCAGGAGCGAAAGCAUGGGGAGCGAACAGGAUUAGAUACCCUGGUAGUCCAUGCCGUAAACGUUGGGCACUAGGUGUGGGAUUUAACUAACAAAUUCCGUGCCGUAGCUAACGCAUUAAGUGCCCCGCCUGGGGAGUACGGCCGCAAGGCUA